rnacentral:rRNA from 1 species
UACGUAGGCAGCGAGCGUUGUUCGGAGUUACUGGGCGUAAAGAGUGCGUAGGCGGUUUUCUAAGUUUGGUGUGAAAUCUCCCGGCUUAACUGGGAGGGUGCGCCGAAGACUGGAAGGCUUGAGUAUGGGGAGAGGUAAGCGGAAUUCCUGGUGUAGCGGUGAAAGUGCGUAGAUAUCAGGAGGAACACCUGCGGUGUAGACGGCUUACUGGACCAUCACUGACGCUGAGGCACGAAAGCGUGGGGAGCGAACAGG